rnacentral:tRNA from 1 species
GCCCGAGUGGUGUAACGGCAGCAUAGAGGAUUGUGGUUCCUCUGACGGGGGUUCGAUUCCCCCUUCGGGCCCCA